rnacentral:rRNA from 1 species
CACGUAGGGCGCGAGCGUUGUCCGGAAUUAUUGGGCGUAAAGAGCUCGUAGGUGGUUUGUUACGUCCGCUGUGAAAACCUGGGGCUUAACCCCGGGUCUGCAUUCGAUACGGGCAGGCUAGAGUUCGGUAGGGGAGAUCGGAAUUCCUGGUGUAGCGGUGAAAUGCGCAGAUAUCAGGAGGAACACCGGUGGCGAAGGCGGAUCUCUGGGCCGAUACUGACGCUGAGGAGCGAAAGCGUGGGGAGCGAACAG